CCAGACUCCUACGGGAGGCAGCAGUGGGGAAUAUUGCACAAUGGGGGGAACCCUGAUGCAGCGACGCCGCGUGGGUGAAGGAGCGUUUCGGCGCGUAAAGCCCUGUCAGCAGGGAAGAAAAUGACGGUACCUAAAGAAGAAGCCCCGGCUAACUACGUGCCAGCAGCCGCGGUAAUACGUAGGGGGCAAGCGUUAUCCGGAUUUACUGGGUGUAAAGGGGGCGCAGACGGCGAUGCAAGCCAGGAGUGAAAGCCCGGGGCCCAACCCCGGGACUGCUCUUGGAACUGCGUGGCUGGAGUGCAGGAGGGGCAGGCGGAAUUCCUGGUGUAGCGGUGAAAUGCGUAGAUAUCAGGAGGAACACCGGUGGCGAAGGCGGCCUGCUGGACUGCAACUGACGUUGAGGCCCGAAAGCGUGGGGAGCAAACAGGAUUAGAUACCCGAGUAGA
rnacentral:rRNA from 1 species